CUACGGAGGGUCCGAGCGUUAAUCGGAAUUACUGGGCGUAAAGCGCGCGUAGGUGGAUGUAUAAGUCAGAUGUGAAAGCCCUGGGCUCAACCUAGGAACUGCAUUUGAAACUGUACGUCUAGAGUAUGGUAGAGGUGAGUGGAAUUUCAGGUGUAGCGGUGAAAUGCGUAGAGAUCUGAAGGAACAUCAGUGGCGAAGGCGACUCACUGGGCCAUUACUGACACUGAGGUGCGAAAGCGUGGGUAGCAAACAGGAUUAGAUACCCUAGUAGUCC
rnacentral:rRNA from 1 species